GCCCAGCCCAUCACAGAAGCCAGCCCCCACGGCCACUAUGUUCUUUGGGGAGUGAAGUCACGGUUCUUCCCCUGUGUGAGGAGCAACUGCCCGCAAACAAGAGCCUGGAGAACGAGCAGCCUUGGCCCGCUGAGCGGGGCCCUCUUCGGGACCUUCCCUCCACCCCAGAGCCGCCUCUGCACCCCCUCACCUUUAAGGCCCCGCAGAUCUCUACCGUGUCCACCUCCUGCACCACCGUGACACGGAAAUUGGGUGUCUGCAUCAACUCCUUCAGAAGCUGUCCCUGGGCCAGGUCCUUGCAGCCUAAAGCGGGGAGGGGGUGAGUCUUUAAGAGGGGACUCUUGGCUCUUCUUCCCGCACCUGCCCUCAGCAGGCCCUACGGCUCUUUCUGUAGGGGGGGCCCCCCAAUCCUCCUUCACCUGGAUGCUGGGGUCUUCUUCCUUCGCCCGCCUUUUGAAGAGAAGAUGGCUAAGUGGGAGGGCUUGGGGGGUGUAUGAGAGAUCCCUGGGGGGUAUGAGAGGUGGGUUGGGAACAGAGCUUGGGAAGGGGGUGUCACUGGAGUGGAGGUGCAUUACGUAUGCAGGUAGUGGUGGUGGUGGUGGGGGGUGACUCACCGAUGGUUGUCUCACAGAACUUCUCAUCAGCCACCUCAUUGGCAAUGUUGGCCCCCAUCAGCACGCUUAUGGGGAUGCCAAGGCGCUCCCCAAUCACUUCAGAGAUGAGCUUCAGCCCGUCGGGGCCCUCGUCUACCCCCUGGGCACAGGAUGGAGCUCGGGCCAGGGGCCUUUCCUCCCCAGCCUGAGGGCUUCCCAGCCUGAGGGCUUCCCACCCAGAAAUCCUGCCCCGACCAAAUUCACGGUUCGUCAGUGUCUGUCCCCAAAGGUCCCCCUGCCUUCCUCCAAGCCAGCCGGAGCUUGCUGGGAGGAGGGCCAGAGAGCAUGUGAAAGCGAGUCCAUCUGAAAACUCUCCUUCCACAGCCCGCUUCUACAAGGCGAUGUCUUCCCUCCACCCCUCAACAGCCCAGAGCAGCUCCCAUCCCAGCCAGUGCUCCGAAGCAACUUCCCUCCUCCACCCCUCAGACCAGCCUGCCUCUCAUACCCCCCAGACACCCCUUGUACGCCCCUAAACUCCCCAAGCUAUUCGCCUCCGGGCUGACCUCUUACCUGCUCCCCAACCAACUCCCCUUCCCAGCAGCCCUGAGCAUCUGACUGUUUCUCAAGUCUCCCCAAAGCCCACUCCUCUCCUCUCUCCAGAAAACGCCUGGCCUCCUCCUGCCGUUUUGUUUGUCUCACUUCGCCCACCCUGAGCCCCGCAACAGUUAGCUGCACCCCCAUCCACAUGAAGGUGUCCCAGGCACCUUAAUAAGAGAUAGGCCAAUGGCAUCUGCCUUCAGGUGGCCCUUGAGCUGAUCACAGAUCUUGCCGAUGAACUGAUGUGGCACCACAAAGAUCAGGAUGUCAGCAUCCGCUGAGGCCUGGACCACAUCUGGGACAGCCACCUGUGGGGGUGACCAGUGCUCAGAGGUCUGACAGAGUUCUAGCCCCUGUGGAGCCCCAUCCAGGAGAUCUAGGAGCCAAAGAGUGAGGCUGGUGGGGGAGAAGGAAGGGCAGAUUGAGGGUUGAAUUUGGAAGGGCUGAACUUGGAGAAAGGAGACACUAUUCCGUCCCCUGAGCCAUCAUUCCCUCAGUCCCAGCUGUCCUGGACACUUGAGGACUCCCGGAGACCUCGUCUCAGCACAGCGCUCUCCUAGCCCUUGGCUGGGGGACAGUGAGGGAGGCCAAAGGAGGUCUGGGCUUGGGCAGGAGGAAGAGGCCAAGUGAGAUUUCAUCAUCCUGCUCCUCAGAGCCUCCAGCUGAGAAGGGAAGACACCAGUCGCCCAGCUGUGCCCGCUCCCACUUUCCAGGUGGGGAGUCAGCCACAUGGACUUGACCAAAGACCUCAAGUCCAAGGAGCAGCUUCCACAUCUGCUAAUAACCCAGUGAAUGAGUAACAGGAUUAGAGCCCAAGGCAGGCACUACCCAGACCCCCAGUCUGGGAGCCAGAGGACCCGUCUUUGGUUGCCAUGGAGACCAUCUUCCUCAUUCUCUCCCGCUCCCUGUCCUGCCUGGGAGCUCAUGGGGUGGGGUGGAGCUGCAGGGGAUCCAUUCAGGUUCUCCUGUCCCAGGAAGUCCCCCGGGGAACAGUUUGGGGCUGUGCACAGGGAUGUCCUGUGCCUGGUAUAGCCCUCUGAGAUGCUUCCAAAGGCCAGGUGGCAUGUGACGUGGCCCCCUCCCAGCAGGAAGCACCCCCUCCAUUCCCCUCUCCCCUCCUUGGGGGUGUUGAGGCUCACCACGUUGGGGGGCAGCUUGUGCCCUGGCAGGUAUUUGACAUUCUCAUGCUGUGUGUUGAUGAUCUCUGUCAGCUUUCUGCCCCCGACGUCUUCCUCAAACACCCACAUCGUCACCCGUGGGUCAAAGUGUGCCAGCCGGCCUGCAUUGCCACCCACGAUCUUGGCGAUGGCUGAGCCCCUGGCAGGAAGGGGAGCACAGAAAGCGUAGGAAUGGGGACAUGAGGGAGGAACGGUGGCAGGGAGGGGGCAGAGUUCCAGCUCAGGAUAUCAGCAGCCACCAGGUUUUCCUUGCCACCUGCCUUGUCACCCCCUCCCCCGUGACACAGUGUCUCUAGUGACCUAGCAGUAGAAAGGAGACCCAGUCUCCCUCAUACUUUGCAGCGGUUGAAGGGCCAGCCUCCUGAUCUCCACCUCCCCCCAAACCCAAGCAGCUUCUCCGGCAGGGAGUGCCCUGGAGGCUUCCUUUCCGAAGCGAACAGGUGCAGCUGCCGGAGAAGUCAAGGGCCUGGGGAGGUCUGGGCGCGGUCUGUCGUGUCAGGCACAGAAGAGAGCAACAGGGGGGCACAGGGAGGGGAGGCAUUUCCCGCCCACCGAGCCUCCCCCGCCCCCAGCCUCCUGUGUACUUGAGGGAACCCCUCCCCCCCACAUUCCUUGACAGAGCUGCUUACCAGUUGCCGGAGCCUACAAUGCAGACUUUCUUGCCAGUCAUGGUGCUGCUCCUCUGCCCGAGCCGCCAGCUGGGUGCCCCUCUCCCCAGCUCCCCGCCGGCUGGGAGCCUAUAACUCCAACACACGUGGGUGCAGCCAAGCCCCGCCCUCAAGGGGAGGAUGGGGAGGCGGGCACCCAGGGAGACCGAGAGUCUGGCAGAGCCCGGGAAGGGGGAGAAAAGGGGAGAGACAGGUGGGGAACAGGGAUGGGGCAGAGACCAGGCUACUUUCCCCUUAGGUUUGCCAGCUGACAGUGCUGGCGGCUUCUCCCCUUGGCCCCAGCCCAGGCCCUCGCCCGCCUCCCUGCCCACAAUGGUCUUGUUUUGAGGUCUGCCAAGAGCAAGCCCAGAUAAGGAGCAAGCGAGCAGUCCCCCUCCCUCCCGACUGUCCCCAGCACUGGAAUAAAUUGUAUGCAGUCCUCGCAGCGGAUACUGGGAUGCUCGCUUUCCAAGGGUCCCUACCUGAACGCCUCCCAGGCAGGGAGAGUGGGAAAGGUCAAGGUUGGAGGCCCUGGUGCCAAGAGGCCCGCAGUUUUUGCACAAACUCUAAGCUUCAGGAAGAGGAGGGUAGGAGAGAAAAGGGCCCAAGUGUCCACCGUGCCUGAGGUCUUGAGCUUCCUUCACGUCUUUCUUGGGUCUCUAAGCUACCACGCUGGGGGCGCCCUCAGGAACAAAAGCGUGCCUACUACAGAGCCAGCCUCCCACCACAGAUCGCCAUGGCCCUGGCACUGCGACAAAGGCGCCACUGCCAGGCUGGCAGCUGGGAGCACUGAUUAUGGGUGAUGGACGAGAGAAAGAAUGCUUCUGUCCCUGGAUGAGAACCCCAAAGGAUGGCUGUUUAUGCAUAAAAUAACCCCUUGUUUUUGCCUGGC